AAUGAGCCAGCUAUUAUGAUUAAAUCAAUUCGCCUACUAAGCCUACUACUAAUCGCAUCUCGAGUGCGCGGUAUGCUUAUAGGUGGAAAAUAAGCUGAGAAAUCUUCCACUAGAUUAAGAAAACCCGCGCAAGCCGCGGGUUUUUUU
rfam:Moellerella wisconsensis ATCC 35017 Sequence00014, whole genome shotgun sequence.